rnacentral:rRNA from 1 species
UACGAAGGGUGCAAGCGUUACCCGGAAUCACUGGGCGUAAAGGGUGUCCAGGUGGCCAUAUUAGUCGUUCGUUAAACCUGCGGGCUCAACCUGCAGCGCGCGAGCGAAACGGUAUGGCUUGAGGGUGGGAGAGGUGCGUGGAACUCACGGUGUAGGGGUGAAAUCCGUUGAUAUCGUGGGGAACACCAAAGGCGAAGGCAGCGCACUGGCCCAUUCCUGACACUCACACACGAAAGCCAGGGGAGCGAACGGG